GACGAACGCUGGCGGCGUGCUUAACACAUGCAAGUCGAACGGUAAGGCCCUUCGGGGUACACGAGUGGCGAACGGGUGAGUAACACGUGGGUGAUCUGCCCUGCACUUCGGGAUAAGCCUGGGAAACUGGGUCUAAUACCGGAUAGGACCACUGCCUGCAUGGGUGGUGGUGGAAAGCUUUUGCGGUGUGGGAUGGGCCCGCGGCCUAUCAGCUUGUUGGUGGGGUGAUGGCCUACCAAGGCGACGACGGGUAGCCGGCCUGAGAGGGUGACCGGCCACACUGGGACUGAGAUACGGCCCAGACGCCUACGGGAGGCAGCAGUGGGGAAUAUUGCACAAUGGGCGCAAGCCUGAUGCAGCGACGCCGCGUGAGGGAUGACGGCCUUCGGGUUGUAAACCUCUUUCAGCGCCGACGAAGCGCAAGUGACGGUAGGUGCAGAAGAAGGACCGGCCAACUACGUGCCAGCCGCCGCGGUAA
rnacentral:rRNA from 1 species